rnacentral:rRNA from 1 species
AGAGUUUGAUCAUGGCUCAGGACGAACGCUGGCGGCGUGCUUUAGGGAUGCGAGUCGAGCGGUCUUUUUUACAAACUGAUGUUUCGCAAGAAAUUGAAGCGAGUUUUAAAGAUAGCGGCAGACGACUGAGUAACACGUAGACAACCUACCUCUUACACAGGGAUAGCCACGCGAAAGUGUGGGUAAUACCUGAUAGCCCAUAUAGGUGAAAUUCCGGUAUGGUAAAGGCGUAAGCCGGGAAGAGAGGGGUCUGCGGCCCAUCAGCUAGUUGGCGGGAUAACAGCCCACCAAGGCUAGGACGGGUAGGGGGCGUGAGAGCGCGACCCCCCAGGAUGGCACUGAGACACGGGCCAUACUCCUACGGGAGGCAGCACUCGGGAAUUUUCCACAAUGGACGAAAGUCUGAUGGAGCGACGCCGCGUGAAGGAUGAAGGUUUUCGGAUCGUAAACUUCUUUUGCCAAGGAAUAGGAAGGAAGGUACUUGGCGAAUAAGGGGCUGCUAACUGCGUGCCAGAAGCAUCGGUGAUACGUGGGCCCCAAGCGUUGUCCGGAUUUAUUGGGCGUAAAGCGAACGUAGGCGGUUCGGUAGAUUUCUUUUCAAAGACCUCGGCUCAACCGAGGGAAGGGAGGAAAUAUCACCAAACUAGAAAUAAGCAGGGGAGAUCGGAACGCGUGGUGGAGCGGUGAAAUGUGUUGAUAUCACGCGGAACGCCGGUGACGAAGGUUGAUCUCUGGGCUUUAUUUGACGCUCAUGUUCGAAAGCUAGGGGAGCGAAACGGAUUAGAUACCCUAGUAGUCC